UGCCUCUGACGUUCAAUUUCAAAAGAAGUUUAAUAUCCUUGUCCUGUAGUGAUUUCGCGCUAGACAGAACUGCUGGCGGUGAUCGAAAGUAACCAGGAUGGAGUUGAUAAAUAUACUGUCUACAAGAGGAUGGCUUGCUGUUGGUGCUGUUAUACUUUUUGUCAUUUGGAUAAGAAAAAAGUGUCAAGUGUAUGACACGUUUAAAACGCAGGGAAUACAGGGCCAACCCCUUUUCCUUUGCUUGGUACUACAAUUCAUGCAUUUGCAUGUAAAGUAUUGCAUUUUUAUUGAUCUAAUUUUGCAAAUACUAUUGUUUUUUUCCCUUGAAAAAAAUCAUCCAGUAGUAUCAGCUUUACCAUUAGACCUACAUUCAUUUAUUUAAACAGAAUUUAAAAAGUGGGUUCUUUUUUCAAGAAUUUACUACAAUGGUUACAUUAUUAAGAAUCAUGUUGUCUGACAUAUCUUUCUGUACUCAUUGUUUACAGAAACUGCAGGUGGAUCAUGGGAGGGAAUACACAUAUUCCUAAUUCUUGCUAGCCAAAAGUAGCUUUAUCUACAGACUAAUCUAUUACAGUAUUCCUUCUCUUGGUAGGGUAUAUUUGACAGUUUGGAGAGUUACAGGAGACAGUAUGGAAACAUCUAUGGGUAAUUCAUUUGCUUGAUUGCUUUGCUAAUAUGGAAAUUGAGCGAUAAAGAAUUAAUCUUUACAGACAUAGUGUAAAUGUCUGUUGUUUUCUCAUGUUUUUGUGUGGGAUUUGGCUUCUGAUGAUAUUGGUAUCCAUU